CUGCCCAGGAAGGUUUUUAGCCACCCCAGGAUGUGCAAGACAGGUGACUGUGCUGGCCCUCGGGGACUUGUGCUCCUGUCCGGCAUCUUGCUGGCUCCAGUGGCCGAAGCAGAGGCAGAGGUAGGCCGUGCCUCAAGAGACUGGGCAAGGUAGCGGUGACGUUUCUUAGCCUGCCCAGCCAGCUGCAUCCAAACUGUGUACUCAGCUGCAUUAACAAGGUGUCCGGGAAUACUGGCCUCAGGAUGUGUCUGGGAAGUUGUGAUAUUUCCUACUGCUGCAGAAGGUUACAUCGAGAAGACAGCAACAAAGCUGGAGCGGAUCCAAGCCUGCGUCUGAGUUCAGAUGCUCACGUCAGACCACCUCACCCACCCGGCACCGAGCAUGUGCCCUUGGAGCUGCCCCGGUUUGGCACCUGGUGAUCCCCCCACCGCAAGGAUAACCAUCUACCUAGAGAAAAAAAUCCCAAUGCCAAGAACCCACCUACGCAGCUCAGGAGUGCCAGGAAAAUGCUUCCCCUUUGCAAAGUGCAGGGAAAAGGUAAAUCCUGAGCAUGGUCCAAGAAAAUCCCCCCCACCAAAAAAAAGGAAUCCAAAAUGGGACGUUUCCCAUCAAAGUAGCUGAGGAUGCCAUGAUCAUCGUGGUCGGUGGUGACCCCUCAAGAUCAUGGAGCACCACAACUCCAUUUCAGCCAAAAAAUAGGGUUUGUGUUCAUAGAAUUAUAGAAUGGUUUGGGUUGGAAGGGACCUUUAGAGGCCAUCUAGCCCAGCCCCCCUGCAGUGAGCAGGGACAUCUUCAACUCGAUCAGGUUGCUCAGAGAGGUCAGGCAAGUGUCACUUUAAAAUUGCAGCCUUGGGGUUCCCUUCUGCUACCUGGCCAUCUCCCAAAUCACCCAAAUUGAUACCCUUGGCCAGGCAAUAUCUUCCUUUGGGAGAAACCCUCAGGGAGGGCAGGGUCAGAGUGCAGAGGGGGGCAGU